UAGUUCUGCCGUGUGUCAAAAUGACGUCCUUUUAUGAACGAUCCAGUGGAUGAAGGAGCAGAAUUACUGCACAGAGAAUUAAAUAUUCGUCAGGAGAUUGUUAUCAGACCGUGCAUAGAUGUUCUCACAUUUCUGGACAGUUAUCUUUUACAGCGGUACUGUUUCACGUCACAGUCCAUAAUCUACAUCCAACCUCAUCCAUCCUUACAUUUACAACAUGACCAACCACAGUCAUGCUCUCACAUCCCAGCAGAUAUUGUGUGUUGUGCUGCGGUUCUUUGCAAAUGGGAGUUUUUUAUAUAAUGUCAGAGAUGCAGAGCACUUCAGUAAGACAACUGUAUGCAGGACGGUCAGAAAAGUGUGUCUGGAUCUGAAACGACUUUUACCAUCUUUGUGGUUUUCCCUGGACAUAAACCUGUCAGAGCCAUCAAGGAGGAGUUCCACAGGAUUGCAGAUCAAUGAUGUAGAGAUCUGUUAAAUUAAUUUUAAAUCAUAUCCAGUUAAUGACAUUGUGCUGCAACCUCAGACUGGGAUUAGUAACUUUAAUUUCUUUUAGGAUUUCUCAGUGUGAUUAGCUGCAUAGAUGGCACACACAUCCCCAUCACAGCUCCCUCACAUAAUGAAGCUGAUUAUGUGAACAGGAAGUCCAUUCACAGUAUAAAUGUGCAGAUCAUAUGUGAUGCUGCAUACAUCAUUUCUAAUGUGGAGGCCAAGUGGUCUGGAUCUGUUCAUGACUGGAGGUUUUAUCAUGAGUCUAACCUGAGCAACAGACUGCAACGUGGUAAACAUCCUAAAGAUUUUCACAAUAUAAUUCACUUGUCUCCCUCCUUUAAUAUACUCUAAUGUAUCCACUAUACAUUACAGGAGAGUUUGAUGGUCUUCUGCUGGGUGACAGGGGUUACCAUGCCAACCCAGGCUGAUGACCUCAUACCCUGACCCUGAACCAGGCCCCCAACAGAACUUCAACCAGGUUCACUGCAGGAUGAGAGCCUGGGUGGAGAUGACCAUAGACCUGCUGAAAGCCUGUUUCCAGUGUCUACAUCACCUCAGGGUGACUCCUGAGAGGCCUGUGAUAUUAUUGUGGCGUGUGUUGUUCUUCAUAAUAUUACCACUAUUAGAGGAGAGCAACACUCUGCCCUACAAACUGAAGACCCAGAUGAUGACCUCAUCCACCUGCCAGCUAUCCAGGACAGCAGAGCAGUCAGAGACACCAUAUGCAAUAAUCACUGCAGAGUUUAAGUCUCCAUCAUCACCACCACAGCAGUCAAAUAAACACAUGACAUACAUUUCA